rnacentral:rRNA from 1 species
AUUGAACGCUGGCGGCAGGCCUAACACAUGCAAGUCGAACGGUAACAGGAAGCAGCUUGCUGCUUCGCUGACGAGUGGCGGACGGGUGAGUAAUGUCUGGGAAACUGCCUGAUGGAGGGGGAUAACUACUGGAAACGGUAGCUAAUACCGCAUAACGUCGCAAGACCAAAGAGGGGGACCUUAGGGCCUCUUGCCAUCGGAUGUGCCCAGAUGGGAUUAGCUAGUAGGUGGGGUAACGGCUCACCUAGGCGACGAUCCCUAGCUGGUCUGAGAGGAUGACCCGACAACACGGAACCGAGACAAGGUCCAGACUCCUACGGGAGGCAGCAGUUGGGAAUAUUGGCAAAUGGGGGAAAGCCUGAUGGAGCCAAGCCGGGGGGAUGAAGAAGGGCUUCGGGGUGUGAAAUUAUUUUAGGGGGGAGGAAGGGAGUAAAGUUAAUACCUUGGCUCAUUGACGUUACCCGCAGAAGAAGCACCGGCUAACUCCGUG